AACACGGUGACCGCCCCGCUUGCCCCACCUAGUCCACCAGCUCCACCUGCUCAGUGAAAGGGGAUGUGCCAGUGUGUUUGUCCAGGUGAGGAAUGCUUCGUACAGAGCGUUGUUUGUCAAUAGUUGCCUGAAGUGGUAUCAGGGGCCUAACGCCAUCUCCUACCAGGAGGCGGCGGAGCUGGUUGUGGGCUACCACUGC